GAACAUUUGUUUUUCGAACAAUAAGGCACGAUUUGGGGAUUGGCGGCUGACCAUCCCGUGUUUAUUUGAAGCGUGGUGGAAUCUUGAAUGCAGCAUUUAUUCAAAACCUGUCUCGGCGGAAAAAAAAAAUAUUUGGUUUACCGGGGGCCGUGCUGGGGGAGGGAGAAUUCCAGGAAACCAAAACUGGGUUUCGACAUCUCUAGUCCAAACAGUUGGGGAACCACUGGUUUCGGCGUCUGUCGGGGACUGCGUGACCUCACUGUGUUGGAUGCGGCGUGACCACACAGCCGGAUGCUUUGUUCCUUGGGGGAGGACUCCUUGCUAUUUCUUUACCCGGAGGGAAGACACCCAUUGCACAUCUUAGAAUUUAGAAGGUAGGGAAAGCAAUUGUCGAGAUGUAAUACCAGACUUUAGGGAAUUUAUGGUGGUCAACUGGAAUUUAUUUGAAGACUCUGAAUUCAUCAGCAUCGUCCUCUCUUUUCUGACCAGCGUGCCCUGUCUUGGAGACAGAGACGCCUCGCUGCCUGGCUCCAAAGCCCUGACGACGAAAGCCAGCCGUGAGGUCACCGGCUGGCUGCUCCCAGGGGCAGAUUUAUAGCCCACGUGGGGACCGCUUAAUUCAGAUCUGUCACCCGGCUGCAUGAGCACACUCACUGAUCUCACGCUGAUGUUUUCAGCGCACAGGGUGCUGGGUGAGGUCCAGGGAAAUGGAGCCGUGAACGCCGUGGCCAGAUAGCGGCCGCUCUAGGCUGGGGGUUCAGGAAAACGACCUCACUUGUUUUCUUUCCUCCUCGGUGACAUUGGGGGGCAUCGGCUGCUCUGACAACUUGCUUGAGGGCGUCCAACACACCUGUCAGCUACUUCUCGGAUGCCCGAUGUCCGAAGGGAGGCGGAGGGGUUUUGUGGAGGAAUCUCGGCAUUCAGACUUGCAAUUGACCGUCUCCUUGCUCCCAGGCUGACGUCCUUGGUUAGCACUUCCAUGGCCUCGCGUCCCCAGAGCAAGCGUGCCGUAAGCCCCUCGCUUCUCAAACACUCUGUGCACAGGAGACACCUGGAGACGCCUUGGAAAAACCCCAACAGUUCCAGAAGUCCGAGCGACCGACGAGCUCCCUGCGAUGCCACGGUUGCUGGUCCGGGGACCUCACUCUGAGCCGCCAGGCCCUAAACCCCUUGGACUCCAGGAGACUUCUAGAACUGGCUCCUGAUACCGUUUCCUCGGUGACACAGUGCUAUACGCACAUUGGGUGCUGGGAGACACUUCUCUGUGCUCUGACAGGUCAGCAUAUAGACAUAACCGUCCUGGCCCAGAUGAUCGUAGCGACGUAGGCAGGCCAGGUCUGAGGACCCAGAGGGGACCCCGUACGACCAGCCAAGAGGGUCCUUCGCUAUGUGUAGGACAGAAAUCAAAUGCGACCUGGGAGGGAAUGAGAGCAGAGGUUAUUGAAGAUACAGAGAGAGAGAGAGAGAGAGCGUGCCCUCGAGCAGCUAGAAACAGAUGGUCUGGGAGACUCCAGAAAGGAAGAAGACAGAGAGUCUCCACUUUGUUUGGGGUCUGGGGUUUUUACUGAGGAUGUGGCCUGGUGUGUGUCCUCUUAGGCAUCCAGGGACUGGUUAGAACAGGGACAGGAGUCCAGGUGUCCUUCAUAAGUCACCUAUUCCUCGGGGCCAGGGGUCUUGGCAUAGAGAUGUCUAACGCCCGUGGUCUGGAAUGGGCAUAUGAUGGCUUCGUCCGGUCCUCCUCGCCCGCCCUUCCUUACAUGUCUCUUGCGUUAGAAGACUCUAAAGGAGUCAUUAACUCCUCAUCCCUCACGAGGAGGAUGUACAUGAUUUGCCUUCUGAGGCAUGUGUGAAAGGGGGCUGCAGGUCCCAGAAGGAUAGGAGGAGGAAAAGGAGACAAAAGAUUGUUAUGGAGUCCUCAGUUUCCCUAUCUCAGUAGAACCCUGGAUGCAGGGCAGGGUCCUAUUUGGAAGGAGGGAAGGAAAGAUCGACUGACCCGUCAGCUAGGAAGGCAAGAUAGGGGACUGUGACAUCCGGAGGCAGGAAGCCACAGAGGGGAAACUGAGACUCAGAAGGCAGAGUGAGGAACUCUGUGCACAGAAGGUGGAGAACAGCAGGUUCCACCCAGGAAGGGGAGCUGCGUGGGGAGGACCAGGCCGAGAAGACCUUGCUUCCUUGGGGACCCCCAGGGGGUCCCAAUCCGUCACCACUGUACCCAGGGGCUGGCGGCACACGGCGGAUUCUCAGCCAAGGCGUCUUGAACAGAUGCAGGGCAGCCAGAGCAGGAAUAUGACACGAGCAGACCCGAUCAGCGUGUGAAGCUCGGACCAGCUGGGUGGCGAGCAGGUGCCGGUCGUUAGAGGGGGACUUCGUGACUGGUUCUCCUCAUGCCGGAGUUCUGCUCCCAAGCAGGGUGAUCGUAGGACGCCUGGUGGAGAGAAGGCGUGUGGCGAUUGGGCUCAGUGUCUGGGUCUCUGGGUGAGCAAUCGUGGUAGGGGGCUUGGUGCAGACGCUGGGGGCUAUCGGCUGUGGAGCCCAGGGAAUGUAACCCAGCUUUGGGGGGUUGGACGGUACUGGGCUUCGAACCAGGCGGCUGGCCCCUCCUGGGUGUGCGAGUCCAGAUACGUGGUCGGAGCUGCUGCUGGGAUGGCCCGGGGCACCUGCAGCCUCCCCUGGGGCCUUCAUAAACUGGAGCACCAUCGUGAGGACGGAGAAAGCUUGUAUUGUGGGGUCUAAUUCCAGCCUUCGGGAAAAGUGCAGAGAAUAGCACAGAGAAAUUCCUGCACCCUUCGAACUCCUAUGUUGAAACCUGAUGUCCCGUGUGAUGGCGUCUGGAGGUGGGGCUGUUGGGAGGUGGUCCCACCUUCCUAAGUGUGCUUUGAGAGUGGUAAUGGAAACAAAUAUUCCCGCAAGACAAGAAGGACAAGAAGGCGAAGCUCACCGUGUGGAAGAAGUCAGCUGAGGUGACCCGGCUGGUGAGGGGACCGGAGCCAGGCUGUUUCGGAGGCCGCCCCGGAGGUCGCCAUCCCAGAGGUCACCUCCUCAGAGGCCAGCAUGGUAGGACGUGGGGAAAACCUCUAGCGGGCAUCCCUAGUUCCAAUUUUUGACUUUCUCGCACACAAAUCUGUGCUUCUUCCCCGUGACAGACUUUCAGACUCCUGGCUUCGGCCACCACGCCUGCUUCCGUCCUCCCUGGGGGAGCCCUUCCCAAACGCGGGCUCCAGGCCUGCCCUGCCCACCCCUCCCGAGCACGUCCACAUCCCACCGGCUUUUACCCGUUUGUAUCGCUGUCAGCUAAUGAGUGGUGGGUCCGCAGGGAGGAUCCGAACUCUAGCUGGUGCCAGCCAGAGUGCAGUGGGCAUCCAGGGUGGAGGGGGGACCGUGUGGCAGGCAGUAGAAGGUGGCCAGAGCU